UACGAAGGGGGCUAGCGUUGUUCGGAAUUACUGGGCGUAAAGCGCACGUAGGCGGAUAUUUAAGUCGAACGUGAAAUCCCCGGGCUCAACCCGGGAACUGCGUCCGAUACUGGAAGGCUUGAAUCCGGGAGAGGGAUGUGGAAUUCCAGGUGUAGCGGUGAAAUGCGUAGAUAUCGGAAGGAACAUCAGUGGCGAAGGCGACUUCCUGGACCAAUACUGACGCUCAGGUGCGAAAGCGUGGGGAGCAAACAGG
rnacentral:rRNA from 1 species